rnacentral:rRNA from 1 species
UCUGAGCGGUAGAGAGAAGCUUGCUUCUCUUGAGAGCGGCGGACGGGUGAGUAAUGCCUAGGAAUCUGCCUGGUAGUGGGGGAUAACGUCCGGAAACGGACGCUAAUACCGCAUACGUCCUACGGGAGAAAGCAGGGGACCUUCGGGCCUUGCGCUAUCAGAUGAGCCUAGGUCGGAUUAGCUAGUUGGUGGGGUAAUGGCUCACCAAGGCGACGAUCCGUAACUGGUCUGAGAGGAUGAUCAGUCACACUGGAACUGAGACACGGUCCAGACUCCUACGGGAGGCAGCAGUGGGGAAUAUUGGACAAUGGGCGAAAGCCUGAUCCAGCCAUGCCGCGUGUGUGAAGAAG